CCCUUAGACACUCUAGGCGGCACGCGCGCUACGAUGGGUGGAAGAACGUGUUACUGCCUCCGAAAGGAGGGGUGAAUCACGAAUUCUUGCCCGUGAAUGGGAUAGUUUGUUGCAAUUUUCGGACUUGAACUAGGAAUCCCUUGUAAACAUGCUCAAGAAUAGCGUGUUGAAUACGUCCCUGCCGUUUGUACACACCGCCCGUCGUUUCUUCCGACUGAUACUCAUUGUGAGUUGCAAGGACCCUUUAUUGGGAAAUUGCUGCAAAUGCUUUGUAUUGGAGGAAGAAAAAGUCGUAACA
rnacentral:rRNA from 1 species